rnacentral:lncRNA from 10 species
AACAAGUCCAGCUUGAUGAGUAGGAUGCUGGGUUCAUUAACCCUCUCCACCUGUUCACCGCUUUCAGCUGAGAUUGGCUCAGUGACCCGGGGGCGUGAGGCUGAGGCAUGCGGUACUGACUGAAGAUUGGCUCUGGCUCGUCUGAGGGCACGGAUGUCCUUCCCAAUGCCUCGUGUGAGUUGGUAAGUAUUGCCAGCUAAGGAAAGAAAGUUGGAUAUGUUCUCACCCAAAAACUCCCUCACCUCCUUCAAUUUGUCAAGGCUUUUGAUGACCAGGUCGUGGGCUUGGGCUUGUGUCCACCACUUCUUUCCGUAGUCCAUGGUACUGCUGGUAAUCCCGGUCAAAGCGGCUGUGAUUCCCAACUCCAUCCCAGGUUCCAAGAGUACAAGGCUGCCUCCCUCUGUGAAGGGUGCCAGACCCAUGCCGACGAGGGUCAGGAUGCCAGAGGAAAUGCUGAGAGAGCCAGACACCACAUUGGCGAUGGUGGUGCCUUUGUGGACCUUCUGAACCCCAUCUGCAAGGGCACGGAGCCUUCUUAUGUUAUCCUCAAGCUCACUUUUCAACCGAG